rnacentral:lncRNA from 1 species
CUACACAGGUACAUUCUACAAAGAGCAUAGUUACCCAGUUAACCCACAGUUGCCUAAUAACUCAGUUAACCCACUGUUCCCUAGAAACACAGUUAACUCAUGGUUGCCCAAUUCCAUAUGGAGGGGUGGUCUGCUCUCUCAACACCAUGGAAAUUGGCAAACAGUUCCAUUCCACACCCACCAUCAUAGCUGGUUUUAAAACAUUUACCAGCAUAUCAACUAUUUCAGAUCUAGACAUGGAGAGAACACUGAAGUGUCGAGUCCAGAGCCUGGAGUCUGGAGUCCAGCAAACACUCAUUUAA